rnacentral:rRNA from 1 species
UACGGAGGGGGCUAGCGUUGUUCGGAAUUACUGGGCGUAAAGCGCACGUAGGCGGCUUGGUAAGUUAGAGGUGAAAGCCUGGAGCUCAACUCCAGAAUUGCCUUUAAGACUGCCGAGCUAGCAGGUGAGAGAGGUGAGUGGAAUUCCGAGUGUAGAGGUGAAAUUCGUAGAUAUUCGGAAGAACACCAGUGGCGAAGGCGGCUCACUGGCUCAUACUGGACGCUGAGGUACGAAAGCGUGGGGAGCAAACAGG